rnacentral:rRNA from 1 species
CCUACGGGCGGCUGCAGUAAGGAAUAUUGGUCAAUGGACGGAAGUCUGAACCAGCCAUCCCGCGUGCAGGAUGACUGCCCUAUGGGUUGUAAACUGCUUUUAGCAGAGACGAAACGCCUUCAUUUAUGAGGGUCUGACGGUAUCUGCAGAAUAAGCACCGGCUAACUCCGUGCCAGCAGCCGCGGUAAUACGGAGGGUGCAAGCGUUAUCCGGAAUCACUGGGUUUAAAGGGUGCGUAGGCGGAUAUUUAAGUCAGUGGUGAAAUCUUGUCGCUUAACGAUAAAAUUGCCAUUGAUACUGAAUGUCUUGAAUUGGGUUGAGGUUAGCGGAAUGUGACAUGUAGCGGUGAAAUGCAUAGAUAUGUCAUGGAACACCAAUUGCGAAGGCAGCUAGCUGGGCCUUGAUUGACGCUGAGGCACGAAAGCGUGGGUAGCGAACAGGAUUAGAUACCCUUGUAGUC